GCCUUUAAACCCCUAUUUACAGACUAAUUCUCAUCUUUCUCUAGUUUUUAUCUCAAAGAAAUGGUUAUAGAUAGCGGGUUAAGAGGUGUUUCCCGGGAUGUUUCCUCACUGAACCUUAUAAAAUGGCGGGUGAAAUACUUACUACUAUUUUUCCUCACUUUUAUCUAAAAAAAAUGGAUAUUGAAAGCCAGCGAACACAAGAGAGUGCGGUAGAGAAACCUGAAAAGAAAACGGUUUCCUGUAGCUCCGGCGAUUCCUCAGAGAAGGCCUCGAUGGAUAAGCUGGAGCUCAGUAAACUAAUCUUGCAGAUAGGUAUUAUGGCGACCGUUGCUGUCGUUGCCUUGAGAAGCCACGAAUUGGAAGCUGUAGAUCAGCUUUUCGUGUUGGCAAACGUAUUGGGAUGUGUCUGCAUCUUUAGCGGCCUUCAGCUCCGAGAAUGCACACCAAGAUUUGCCAGAACGGCAGAUCUGGUCGGAGUUGGCCUAGUAUUUGCUGCUAUUUUCGUUCUGUUCUCAAAACACUUGCUCUGGUGGCUAAGAAUCGUGCCAGCGGUCUGCUACCCCAUUGUGCUCGUCGUGAUGGUGGCUGCCAAAGGUGAAGGAAGGAGACUCAUUGGAGGAGUUAUUCUAUUGCAUAAUAUGAAAUGGGACAAGUCAAUAUAAUCACCGGUAUCAACCACUACAGAAGAGCUAAUUGCAACAUCAAUAUCUGGGAUCCAAAGUUUGAUGUAACACAGCUGUUUUUUCACAACUCAUUAGAAGAUGGCAGAAGGUGAGGGUAUUCAGCCUCGUGUAUGACAAUGGAAUUGGAAUCAAGGUUGAUUUGAUGGAGGUGAUGCCCCAAGAGCCGUCUUCCCUAGCAUUGUUGGGUGCCUUUGUCACACCAGAGUGAUGGUCGGCAUGGGUAAAAAGGAUGCCUAUAUGUUGGAGAGGAUGAGAACUGUAUGAAUUGUAUUGAAUGAGAUAGUUGAAAAAUACAGAUUACAGAGAUAUAUAUAAUGAGAGAAUCUUAGGGACAAUAUAAUAGGAGAAUCACAGGAAGCCUAGAAUGGAGAGUCAUAAUCUGACUCAAAUACAUAGUGUCCUAAUAGAGAGAGGUAUUUUGACUCUGAACUACCCGGGCCUAUUGAACAUGGAAUUGUGAGCAACUGGGAUGACAUGGAGGAAAUCUGGCAUCAUACCUUUCUACAAUGAACUUCGUGUGGCUCCAGAGAUCACCCAGGCCUUACAGAAGCUCCUCUUGACCCCAAGGCUAAUCAUGAGAAAAUGAUGCAAAUCAUGUUUGAAACAUUCAAUGCCCCUGUGGUGUAUGUUGCUAUUCAGGCCACCCUUUCCCUCUAUGACAGUGGUCGUACAUCUGGUAAGCAUUAUCGUUACAUUUUUCUGCAUUAACUUGUAUGGACUCCAUACAUACUGAAAUGAGGAUUUAGACUAUAAGAAUUAAUAUCACUUUUGGUCCCACGACUUUUGAGUUUUAUCAUUUUUGGUGCGCAACUUUGAAUUUUUUCAAUAUUGGUGCCUAACUUUGUUAUUUUUAUCAGUUUUGGUCCUUACGGCUAAAUUGAUAGCAAAAUGUUGCCGGAUUUUAUAUGUUAAGGGAAAAAUCAUUAUCCAAAAGAAAGAUCUUCAAUAUCUAAACAAAAGAAAAAUCAUAUUAUGAGAAAAAGAAGGGUUUGUCAAUCGUCGAUGUUAUAAAUCUCAUAGAUCUUUGUCUAGUUUUUGUCUGUCUUCCCCAUUAUUUGUGCCGAUCAAACACCUAUAAAUAUGAUUUUACAGUGAUUUUGCUUAGAUAUUGAAGAUGCUUCCUUGAAAUGACGAUGCUACCCUUAAAAAUCUAAAAUCCGGCAACAUUUCGCUAUCAAUUUGGCCGAAAGGACCAAAACUGAUAAAAAUAACAAAGUUAGGCACCAAAACUAAAAAAAUUUAAAGUUGUGUACCAAAAUUGAUAAAACUCAAAAGUCAAGGGGCCAAAAGUGAUAUUUGAUAAGUUGGUUAUCAGACAUCCAUUUUCAAAUUUUCUUGAGAAAAUGGGUUAAAUGUAGGAUAGAGAUAGUGUGGUACGAAUCAAACUUACUAUGAAAUAAAAAGUGAAUCAUGUGGCUGCCACUAAUAUGAUCUUUUGAUGGGCCAUUAUGAUUCAUGGCUCCUUUCAAGUUCUUGCUUCUAGAGCUUCGCUUCUGCAGUAUAUUUUGUAACGAAGGUUAUUCACAGCUUAAAGAACCUUAAAUUGCUUCAGAGCAUAGAGAUCUAUUGUACCUGUUGACACUUUGUUGAUUGGCAUUUUUUAAAGAAUCCAUUUCCAUUAUUCUUGGAGGCGAAAGGUUAUUUCCAAAAAAGCUUUCUGCAAGAACCUAAAGCUGGUGUAAGUUAUCAUUUAAAUGCUUUUUCUUUUGUGCUUAUCAAUGAAUAAUUCUUUGUAGGUUUCUGCUUUAAUGUUUGUAGCUAAUUUUAAUGUUUAUAUCUAAUCAAUUAAGGGUAUAGGUCUGAGGUGAAAAUGUAUCUACCUAUCACUGGACUGGAAACUGGAAAGUUUUAACAGAGUGCAGAGUUAAUAUAUGAUGCUGAUAUGUAUGAAACAUUCUUUUACUUGCCUUUAAAGAUUGUUCAAUCAAAUAGCAGGUCAGGUGCCCUCAUGCCCAAGAGCCACUGGAGGAGGUAAAUUGCGAGUCGCUUUGUCAGUCCUCACCUUUGACCUCUGAUCGAGUGAUCGGUCAAGGUCUCCGAGUGACCCCCCAUGUUCGGAGCAAGGUUUUAGGAUGAUUAAUCGAACCAACUGAGCUCGUCCCGAGGGGCUCUGUACUUGAGUUGUCACAUAUACUUUGUGUAAUGAAUGUGGUGAAUUUACAUUCACACUGAAUGUUUCAAUGCCAUUUAUCAAAUUGCAGCCCUGUUUGAUAUACUUUGUGGUGGUGGCAUCUUCAGCCCUGCUCUAAUGCUAUAUGUUUGCUUUCUACC